rnacentral:rRNA from 1 species
CAGCAGUUCAAGUUGCAUCCCUUUUUAUUGGGUCUAAAGUGUCCGUAGCUGGAUUCGAAAGUCUUCUGUGAAAUCGUUGAGCUUAACUUAACGCAUUGCAGGAGAUACUCCGAAUCUUGAGACCGGGAGGGGCUAGAGGUAUUCCUAGGGUAGCGGUAAAAUGCGAUAAUCCUGGGAGGACCACCUGUGGCGAAGGCGUCUAGCUAGAACGGGUCUGACAGUGAGGGACGAAGGCUAGGGGAGCGAUCCGGAUUAGAGACCCGAGUAGUCC